UACGUAGGGGGCAAGCGUUGUCCGGAUUUAUUGGGCGUAAAGAGCGUGUAGGCGGCCACACAGGUCUGCUGUGAAAACUCGAGGCUCAACCUCGAGCUGUCGGUGGAAACCGUGUGGCUAGAGUCCGGAAGAGGAGAGUGGAAUUCCCGGUGUAGCGGUGAAAUGCGCAGAUAUCAGGAGGAACACCAAUAGCGAAGGCAGCACUCUGGGACGUGACUGACGCUGAGACGCGAAAGCGUGGGGAGCAAACAGG
rnacentral:rRNA from 1 species